GGGCGUUUGGUCUAGGGGUAUGAUUUCCCCUUCGCAGAUCACGUGGAUGUAACAAUUCAUCUGAUUCUAAAUUGGGGAAGGUCAUGGGUUCAAUUCCCAUAAUGUCCAC
rnacentral:tRNA from 1 species